CCCUUAGAUGUCCUGGGCCGCACGCGCGCUACACUGACAUGUUCAACAAGCCUCCUAGUUCGACAGGAUUUGGGAAAUCUUUGAACGCAUGUCGUGAUAGGGAUAGAUCAUUGCAAUUAUUGAUCUUUAACGAGGAAUUCCUAGUAAACGCGAGUCAUCAGCUCGCAUUGAUUACGUCCCUGCCCUUUGUACACACCGCCCGUCGCACCUACCGAUUGAAUGUUUCGGUGAAGAUUCCGGAUAGGACUUUUUUGAUUUAUUUCAAUUUUGUCUUAAAAGCUAUCUAAACCUCAACAUUUAGAGGAAGGUGAAGUCGUAACA
rnacentral:rRNA from 1 species